GUGGGGAAUCUUGCGCAAUGGGCGAAAGCCUGACGCAGCCAUGCCGCGUGAAUGAUGAAGGUCUUAGGAUUGUAAAAUUCUUUCACCGGGGACGAUAAUGACGGUACCCGGAGAAGAAGCUCCGGCUAACUUCGUGCCAGCAGCCGCGGUAAUACGAAGGGGGCUAGCGUUGCUCGGAAUUACUGGGCGUAAAGGGCGCGUAGGCGGACAGCUUAGUCAGAGGUGAAAGCCCAGGGCUCAACCUUGGAAUUGCCUUUGAUACUGGCUGUCUUGAGUUUGGGAGAGGUGAGUGGAACUCCGGGUGUAGAGGUGAAAUUCGUAGAUAUUCGGAAGAACACCAGUGGCGAAGGCGACUCACUGGCCCAAUACUGACGCUGAGGCGCGAAAGCGUGGGGAGCAAACAGGAUUAGAUACCCGAGUAGUCC
rnacentral:rRNA from 1 species